UACGUAGGGUGCAAGCGUUGUCCGGAAUUAUUGGGCGUAAAGAGCUCGUAGGCGGUUUGUCACGUCGGAUGUGAAAACCCGGGGCUUAACCCCGGGCCUGCAUUCGAUACGGGCUGACUAGAGUUCGGCAGGGGAGACUGGAAUUCCUGGUGUAGCGGUGAAAUGACGCAGAUAUCAGGAGGAACACCGGUGGCGAAGGCGGGUCUCUGGGCCGAUACUGACGCUGGAGGAGCGAAAGCGUGGGGAGCGAACAGG
rnacentral:rRNA from 1 species